ensembl:lncRNA
AUGCUCCUCUCCUCUGGUGCCAUGCAGGUUUCCCACUGGCCAAGUCCAACCAGCAGCCAUGGGACCCAGAAGCUCAGUGAUAGAGUCCAUAUAGGUUGGUCUCCACCAGCAAAGAAUAGAGCAGAGAAAGGAGUUUCGCCCUUGUCGCCCAGGCUGGAGUGCAAUGGCACAAUCUCAGCUCACCAAACCUCUGCCUUCCGGGUUCAAGUGAUUCUCCCGCCUCAGCCUCCCAAGUAGCUGGGAUUACAGGUGUGUGCCACCAUGCCCAACUAAUUUUUGUAUUUUUAGUAGAGAUGGGGUUUCAACAUGUUGACCAGGCUGGUCUCGAACUCCUGACCUCAGGUGAUCCACCUGCCUUGGCCUCCCAAAGUGCUGGGCUUACCGGCAUGAGCCACCGCGCCCGGCCUUAUGACUUCUUUAUGUUUCACUUUCCUUAUCUGUAAAACGGGUAUACCAGAAAUAAUAGUAGCUACCUUGAAGGGCUUCGGAGGGGCUCAAAUGAACUGAUGUAUGUAGAUUGCUGAGACUAGCAUCUAGCACUAUGUAAAAGCUUUGCUGUUAUUAUUGUGCAAUAAUUAUCCUUUAACAGCUGCCUCUUCUUGCCACCACUUUUAUAAAGACUUCUGUUUGUCCCUUGUAUACAUCUUUCAAAUAUCUACUUUUCAGAUCUUCUCACUUUUUCUAUGCAACUGCUUACUUUACACCUUUCAGUAUUUUUUCACUUAUUUCUCCAAACAACCUCUUUAAAUUUGCCCUAACCUACCAUGAUAUACCAAUAGUAUAUCAGAACUUUCUCAUAUGUUGUUUUUAUUGAUAUAUGUUUAUUCAUAUAUAUGAUGCUAUAAUAUAUAUUGAUGCACAGAACAUGAGAACAACUACUCUGGUUAGUGGCUUUGUGUUUACUCUGGAUCACACCAAUGGCUAACUCAGUUGUUCUCUGCAAUAGUAACAAACAAUGCUUGUUUAAACAACAUACCUUCCAAAGGCCUUAGGUUUUGUUUGUUUGUUCAUUUGUUUUGUUUUUACUAACAUAUUUGAGACUUAACAGCAUCUGCUAAUUUAUCUAAACUUCCCUUCAAAUUAUUGUACUUUCAGCCUUCACCAUAACUUCAGGUAAUGAUUAUAUAAAAUUAUCCUUUCCUCUUAUUUAUCUCCAAACUAAGUUUUCCAAACUUUAAGGGGUAGUUCCUAAUUCUGGAAUUGCAAUUUUCAUUAAAAAGUUAUUUUCUCUACCAAGACUGCAUGAUUUCACAAACUAAUAUCAUUUACUCUUUCCAAACAAUCAUUUCCAGAUUUAUCCUAAUAAUGGGACAGAAUACAAUUCAAAUGGGCAUAGAAAAUGUAGUUUUCUUAUUUUUGCUCUCAUCAUGCUAACUUGAAGCCCAUUCUGGUUUCUCUCUUAAUCUGAUCCAAUAAUUUAAAAGUAUCAUUAGAUAGUCCUUGAUAUCCAGGGGAAAAAAUACUUAUCUCUCAGAAAUGUUGGUCUCCCACCCUUUUGACCUUCUCGUCUCCAACAUGACAUCUCAGGAAACUUUUGAAUUCUUGUAGGAGGGGUAGAGGAUAAGCCUUUUUAUUUCAUUGUCAUUUGUCCAUCUAGGCUGCCACUCACUAUGUUGGCUUCUGGUGGCUGAAGUCUACAGCUGGUAUAAUACAUAGGAUGGGGUCUCUCUGAUUUAUUGGCGUCCAGUGGUGCAUUCUGACCUGCAUGUCCUUCCCUCAGCUCUUGCUGACUCCUCAGGCACUGCCACUGCCAGAGGCUCCGUCCAGUCAGCCUCUAGGCCCGAUGGUCGGCUUUUGCCAUGGAGUCACACCAUCCUGUUCAGAAUGGACCUUGGAAAGUCCACUGUAUUCAUGCCACUUAGGAACUGAGAGGGACUUGGAAGGUGAAAUAAAUCAUCUGGCUGCCAGCUACACCAUUUUGGCUUGUUAAGUAUCUCAUGUUGGCAUAGCUCCAUUCUCCUUCCAGUAUUUUCUUCAAUUUAUCUGUAUAUAUACCAAAAGACAACUUUCUCUGAAGGGUCACCUCCAAGUUGGGGGAUGAAGUAUGGAGAAAGAGACCAUUGAGGUAUUUUCCUUCCCCUUCUCCACUCUUUCCAUCUUCCUAAUUUCUUUCAUAAUACCCUGGGUCUAAAAGAAGUAGAUUGCUCCCUCUUACUGUGUCAUAUCUUUCUUCUACCUAAGCCUAAAAGGCAGAAGAAAUAUUCUCUGGGAGAAACAGGGAAAAUAACUUGAGCAGGUGCUCUAGGUUUGGUUCUUGAAAAAAAUAAGAGAAAAAAGAAUAAUUUAGACAUUCCUCUCUCAAGCAAAUGACUUCUUAUGACCAUAUAAGACUAUUUUAUGGAAAUUUUCAGAUUGAUAUUUCAUUAAUAUAAAACAACAAUUAAAAUGUCAGGAUCUGUUCAUUUUGGAUACUUUUGUAAUUAUCCUAAUUCUCUUUUACAACCACCUGACCUCUUGCCUUCUUCCUUACUAGGGGUUUCCUUGGGUCAAUCAGAAAGGAGGUCAUGAACUCAGAAAGGUAAAAGAAAAAAGCAGACUAUUUCAGAAUAUUACUUCCAAUACACUUACCUAAUUAAUUAAUCUAUUUGAUAAUACCUACAUUCCUUAUAGCAAAUUAAGUAGAGCCUACUCUUAGAUCACAUAUUAUCAUUCUGUGACACUCCCACUGAAUCUUUCUCAAGUUUCAGCAUAUCUUUCUUACCAAGGUAGAAUGACUGCACUGCAACAAAGUGUUCCCGGGUCAGAUGAAUUAUGACAUUGCGCUGUGGUUCAGAGAAAGGAUAAUGUCUUACUGUUUCCUGAUAAUACUUAUUAUUGUGCAGAUCUCAUUUUCUGUGGUUCCCUAUUACUGAUAACUGAUGCUGAGCAUAUGAGAGCUCAAAGCUGAUUAAGGUACUUAUCAGUGGGAAUUCCACUGACUGCAACAGGUGGCUGUGGUGAGAUGCUGGGAGAGAGGAAAGAUAGAGGCAGGCAUUAGUUUCCUCAUUUACUCUGAACCUGUCAUCAAAUUAGGUUAAGAAGCUAGAAAAUGGUUAGCAACAGUUGAUGAAAUCAACUUUUCCUUGUAUUGACUCUAAUGGAAACAAGUUGUAGAACCAACAUCAUGACAGGAAUGUCAGAAAUAUAAAGAAGAAAAAAAUAUUACAUCUUCACGUUAACAAGUGAACAUUUUUAUUUUUUAUUUUCCCAUUCCUAUUCAUAUUUAUUAUAUCAUUUGUAAUAGAUAAAAUCUUACUGAGGGUAACACUCUCAACAUGAGAUGGAUUUCUCAUAAUGUAUUUAUGCUCUAAUUAAAGACAAUUUGACCUUGUAAGAUUAAAAAAACUUUUUGCCCUCAGAAGGUCAAGGCUGCAGGGGGCCGUGAUUGCAACACUGCAAUACAGUCUGGGCAGCAGAGCCAAAAUCUGUCCUAAAAAAAAAAAAAAAAGAUUGGGAAAACCUUUAAGACUAACACAUCAGGACUCUGACUAGUGUUAAAAAAAAAAUGAUGCUUUUUUCUUAUGAAGAACUUACCACUGUAACUGGUCUUACUGUUAAAAUAGCCUAAUUAGUUGACGGGGGGAUACUAAUUUACCAUGACAAAUAUACAAAUUUCCUGGUGUUGCUUUUUAAAUAAACAGAAUCAAAUUAUUUUUGUCUUUAAAAAUACCCGGCCGGGCGCGGUGGCUCAAGCCUGUAAUCCCAGCACUUUGGGAGGCCGAGACGGGCGGAUCACGAGGUCAGGAGAUCGAGACCAUCCUGGCUAACACAGUGAAACCCCGUCUCUACUAAAAAUACAAAAACUUAGCCGGGCGAGGUGGCAGGCGCCUGUAGUCCCAGCUACUCGGGAGGCUGAGGCAGGAGAAUGGCGUGAACCCGGGAGGCGGAGCUUGCAGUGAGUUGAGAUCCGGCCACUGCACUCCAGCCUGGGUGAUAGAGCGAGACUCCGUCUCAAAAAAAAAAAAAAAAAUAAAAAUAAAAAUAAAAAUAAAAAUAAAAAUACCCAUGAGAUUAUUUCUUGUGAUGGAGUAUAAAUGUCUUUAAGCUUUUGUCAUUUAGUUAUCACAUCAUUUUUAGUCUUUCCCAACAGCCUUCAAAGAUAAUUAUCAUUCUUGAAGAUUCUACUGGCUAUAUUUGACUCUUUGCUCUUUGAAUUUUUGGCUUAUUUGAGGGCUAGCUGACAUUUUUAUGAUAUUGAGUCUGCCUAUCUAUGAGCAUAAUAUAUUUUUAAAUUUAUUUAGGUCUUCCUCCUAUAUGUCCUCAAUAAUAAGUCACAAUUUUCUCCAUAAGAGUUUGCACGUUUGAAUAAUUUACAGUUUCUUUAUAUUUCUGUUGCUAUAAAAUUUGUAAUGUUUGUAAAUUUUAAAUCAACAUUGUUGGAGUAUAAUUUUUAUAUGAUAAAAUUAUAUGUGUACAUUUUGAUGAGUUUUGACAAAGGUAUAUACAAAUAUAAUCACAACUCUAAUCAAGGCAUAUAAAACAAUUCUUUCAUGCUUAUUUGUAAGCAGUCCCAAUCUCCACCCCAGCCACAGAAAAACACUGGUCUUCUUUUUGCCGUUUU